ACCCGACUACAUGAAGCUGGAAUCGCUAGUAAUCGCGAAUCAGAAUGUCGCGGUGAAUACGUUCCCGAGUCUUGUACACACCGCCCGUCACACCAUGGGAGAUGGAUAUGCCCGAAGUCAGUGACCUAACCGAAAGGGAGGAGCUGCCGAAGGUGGAGCCAUUAACUGGGGUGAAGUCGUAACAAGGUAGC
rnacentral:rRNA from 1 species